AUUGAACGCUGGCGGCAUGCUUUACACAUGCAAGUCGAACGAGUGGCGAACGGGUGAGUAAUAUAUUGGAACGUACCCAGUAAAGGGGGAUAACCAAUCGAAACAUUGGCUAAUACCGCAUACUAUUCGAGCGGCCAAUAUGGGAUUAGCUAGUUGGUGGGGUAAAGGCCUACCAAGGCGACGAUCCGUAGCGGGUCUGAGAGGAUGAUCAGCCACACUGUGACUGAGACACGGCCCAGACUCCGACGUGAGGCAGCAGUGGGGAAUUUUGGACAAUGGGCGCAAGCCUGAUCCAGCCAUGCCGCGUGUGUGAAGAAGGUCUUCGGGUUGUAAAGGACUUUUGGUAGGGAAGCGUUACCUAAAGAAUAAGCACCGGCUAACUACGUGCCAGCAGCCGCGGUAAUAC
rnacentral:rRNA from 1 species